rnacentral:sRNA from 2 species
CUCUGGACCAAAAGUAGUGUUAGCAUGGGAAGUGCUGGGCAUGUGUGUCGUGGAUUUAUCCCUGGUUGCGGCUUUCGGUGCCGCGCCGAGCAAUCGCACUGGCGUAAAUGCCCCUGACUAUCUUUUCGUUCAUUAGUAAUUCUGAGCUCAGUUACGAAAAAUACGGCUGUUUUGUUCUGUCUUCUCCCGUUGAACUCAGCAGGCUCAAAUUGCUUUGCAACCACAAAUGCCGCCCGCUAAAGUGUAAUGGCGUGGUCAAUUGGGAAGCAAAAUCUGCCACUACCCCACUGAAAGAUGCAACAAAAAAACGGGAUAGUAAGACGAUCGACACCACUAAGAACGCCCCCAAACCACU